rnacentral:rRNA from 1 species
GACGAACGCUGGCGGCGUGCUUAACACAUGCAAGUCGAGCGGUAAGGCCCUUUCGGGGGUACGACGAGCGGCGAACGGGUGAGUAACACGUGGGUGACCUGCCCUCAGCUCUGGGAUAAGCCUGGGAAACUGGGUCUAAUACUGGAUAUGACUCCACGGUGCAUGUCGUGGGGUGGAAAGCCUUGUGCGGCUGAGGGUGGGCCCGCGGCCUAUCAGCUUGUUGGUGGGGUGAUGGCCUACCAAGGCGACGACGGGUAGCCGGCCUGAGAGGGCGACCGGCCACACUGGGACUGAGACACGGCCCAGACUCCUACGGGAGGCAGCAGUGGGGAAUCUUGCGCAAUGGGCGAAAGCCUGACGCAGCGACGCCGCGUGAGGGAUGACGGCCUGG